rnacentral:lncRNA from 1 species
AAUUGUGUUUUGAUUGGCUUAUCGCAUGCUUGGGAACUUGAAUGAAGCUUUAGUACCUAGCCCAUUGGUGUAGAUCAUGUUUUGAAAUAUAUGGAAAGACUUUGUUUAAAAACCUCAAACAUGAUUUGGACCUAUGUAUAUGUAAAAUCAAACAUUAAUAUUAACCCCAGCAUUCGACUGAUAUUUUGGUAUCUGUAUGUAAUUCCAAUCAAUUAAAAAGGACGGAG